AGGCAUCUUCAUUUGUGCGACACUGCAACAACAGUAAGCAUGGAGGAGGUUCAAGUCGUGCUGCUGUUGAUCAUUAUUUACUGCUUUGCAAAUGGGGUAAUUGAGUCAACGCUGGAAAAGAGACGAGCAGUAGUAGCAAAGCGGAUUCAAAACGCCCGAAAUGCUUGCCUUAGAACAAGGAAACGGAUUUUACAAGCUAUUGAGGAGAUUGACCGAGAGAUGACUGAGACGGACUCGCGCCACAGCGCAGAAAGAACAAGAAAGAUAUGCGAGUACUACAGAAUGCGUCGUGUUUCGCCAUCCGUUUGGGUACACAGUAGAGCGGUGGGAAAUCGUGGUUCCAACUUUCACCGAGGCCCAGUGGAUAAAGAAUUUCCAGAUGUCUAAAGACAUUUCUGUACCUUUGCCGUCGAUUGCAACCAGAAUUAAGGAGACAUGACACAAACUACCGCUAUUGUGUACCCAUUCAAAAAAUAGUCGCCAUUGCACUGUGGAAACUUGCGACCAACUCAGAGUACAGGAGCAUCUCUCAUUUAUUUGGAGUCGGCAUUGCUACGGUGUGUCACUGUGUACACGAUUUCUGCUCCUCUGUUGAGAAGGUACUCAUGGCAGAAGUUAUUCAGUUCCCUAACAGUGAAAAAUGGCGACAUUUUGAGUGCAGAUGGGGGUUGCCACUGUGUGUAGGUGCAAUUGAUGGAUCACACAUCCCAAUUCUUGGACCAGAGGAAUACCACACAGUAUUUCAACCGCAAGGGCUGGCAUCCUGCAGGCUGCUGUGGAUGGAAGGGUCUCUUCUGGAAUGUUUUUGUUGGAGCGGUGCUGUGCUUGUCAGGGUUGUGGGGUCUAGUGGAUUUGGGUUUGCUACUCCCUGAUGAAACAAAGAACAUUUGUGGACAUGAUGUGGGGUACUAUAUCCUUGCUGACGCAGCCUAUCCUUUGAAAAGCUGGCUGAUGAAACCUUUCACAGACAAUGGACGACUGACACCCCAGCAACUUGUGUACAACCACAAAACUGGCAGAGCCAGGGUGGUGGUUGAGAACACUUUUGGCAGACUCAAGGGCAGAUGGAGGUGCUUGCUAAAACGAAAUGACUGCAACAUACACAAGGUCAAAUCCAUGGCGAUAGCUUGUGUUCUGCAUAACCUCUGUGAAAUGAACGGUGAUGAGUACAGAGAAGAAUGGGGAGCCACUGCAUUAAACCAGCCUGAUGGGGCACUGUCAUCCACUGUAGAAGCCGAGAGGCUAGACGCACGUACAGGUCUAAUGAAGUUUCUGAACACAUUGUAGUACAGUGUCAGAUUACUAGCUGAAGGUCAAAUCCAUGGUGAUAGCAUGUUGUUCUGUGAAGAGGUUACACCUAUGUACCUUUCCUUUUAUCAAUAAAAAUUUGUUACAGCUGCA